GCUGAAGGUGAGCGACCGCAGUGAGACAGCUGAAGGUGAGCGACCGCAGUGAGACAGCUGAAGGUGAGCGACCGCAGUGAGACAGCUGAAGGUAAGCGACCACAGUGAGACAGCUGAAGGUGAGCGACCACAGUGAGACAGCUGAAGGUGAGCGACCAGUGAGACAGCUGAAGGUGAGCGACCGCAGUGAGACAGCUGAAGGUGAGCGACCACAGUGAGGCAGCUGAAGGUGAGCGACCACAGUGAGACAGCUGAAGGUGAGCGACCACAGUGAGACAGCUGAAGGUGUGCGACCACAGUGAGACAGCUGAAGGUGAGCGACCAGUGAGACAGCUGAAGGUGAGCGACCACAGUGAGACAGCUGAAGGUGAGCGACCAGUGAGACAGCUGAAGGUGAGCGACCGCAGUGAGACAGCUGAAGGUGAGCGACCACAGUGAGACAGCUGAAGGUGAGCGACCACAGUGAGACAGCUGAAGGUGAGCGACCACAGUGAGACAGCUGAAGGUGAGCGUCUGUCAGCCAGACCUGGGUUCAAAUACUAUUUAGGGUAUUUCAAUUACUUUCAAAUACAUUUGGAAAGUUUUUUUAUUUUUUUUUAAAUACUAGAAUACACCAACUCAAAUAUAGUAUUUGAAAAUACUUUAAAAUUGUAGGCUAUUUUAAGGAAAUUGUGCAGAUUUCCUUUCACCUACUCUGUGUCUUUGUUACACGCAGAGUAGGUGAACGGAUGAUCUCCGCAUGUGUAGUUCCCACCGUGAAGCAUGGAGGAGGUGUGAUGGUGGGGCUAUCAUCUGUUUUUCCCCAGGACAAUGACCCAACACACCUCCAGGCUGUAAAAGGGCUAUUUGACCAAGGAGUGCUGCAUGAAAUGACCUGGCCUCCACAAUCACCCGACCUCAACCAAAUUGAGAUGAGUUGGACCGCAGAGUGAAGAAAAAUAAACCAACAAGUGCUCAGCAUAUGUGGGAGCUCCUUCAAGACUGUUGGAAAAGUAUUCCAGGUGAAGCUGGUUGAGAGAAUGCCAAGUGUGUUUAAAGCUGUCAUCAAGGCAAAGGGUGGCUACUUUGAAGAAUCUAAAAUAUAUUUUGCUAUGUGUAAAACCUUUUGGGAUACUACAUGAUUCCAUAUGUUAUUUCAUAGUUUUGAAGUCUUCACUAUUAUUCUACAAUGUAGAAAAUGUCAAAAUAAAAACCCUUGAAUGAGUAGGUGC
ensembl:lncRNA